rnacentral:rRNA from 1 species
CUCCGAAAGGUGUGCUAAUACCGGAUACGCUGAGAAAUCAGGAAAGGUGGCCUCUUCAUGAAAGCUACUGUAUCAGGAGGAGCUUGCGUACCAUUAGCUAGUUGGUGGGGUAAUGGCCUACCAAGGCAACGAUGGUUAGCGGGUCUGAGAGGAUGAUCCGCCACACUGGAACUGGAACACGGACCAGACUCCUACGGGAGGCAGCAGUGAGGAAUAUUGCGCAAUGGGGGCAACCCUGACGCAGCGACGCCGCGUGGAUGAUGAAGGCCUUCGGGUCGUAAAAUCCUGUCAGAUGGAAAGAAAUGUCAUAUGCCUAAUAUGUGUAUGAUUUGACGGUACCAUCAAAGGAAGCACCGGCUAACUCCGUGCCAGCAGCCGCGGUAAUACGGAGGGUGCAAGCGUUGUUCGGAAUUACUGGGCGUAAAGCGCGCGUAGGCGGCUUUUUAAGUCAGAUGUGAAAGUCCACGGCUCAACCGUGGAAGUGCAUUUGAUACUGGGAAGCUUGAGUACUGGAGGGGAUGGUGGAAUUCCCGGUGUAGAGGUGAAAUUCGUAGAUAUCGGGAGGAAUACCGGUGGCGAAGGCGACCAUCUGGCCAGAUACUGACGCUGAGGUGCGAAAGCGUGGGG